rnacentral:rRNA from 1 species
GCAGUAGCCGCGGGAAUACAGAGGGUGCGAGCGUUAAUCGGAUUUACUGGGCGUAAAGCGUGCGUAGGCGGCUUCUUAAGUCGGAUGUGAAAUCCCUGAGCUUAACUUAGGAAUUGCAUUCGAUACUGGGAAGCUAGAGUAUGGGAGAGGAUGGUAGAAUUCCAGGUGUAGCGGUGAAAUGCGUAGAGAUCUGGAGGAAUACCGAUGGCGAAGGCAGCCAUCUGUCCUAAUACUGACGCUGAGGUACGAAAGCAUGGGGAGCAAACAGGAUUAGAUACCCCUGUAGUCCCUGUCUCUUAUAC